GAUGAACGCUGGCGGCGUGCUUAACACAUGCAAGUCGAACGGAAAGGCCACAGCUUGCUGUGGUACUCGAGUGGCGAACGGGUGAGUAACACGUGGGUGAUCUGCCCUGUACUUCGGGAUAAGCUUGGGAAACUGGGUCUAAUACCGGAUAGGAAUCACAUGUGGGUGUGUGGUUGGAAAGCUUUUGCGGUAUGGGAUGAGCUCGCGGCCUAUCAGCUUGUUGGUGGGGUAAUGGCCUACCAAGGCGUCGACGGGUAGCCGGCCUGAGAGGGUGUACGGCCACAUUGGGCCUGAGAUACGGCCCAGACUCCUACGGGAGGCAGCAGUGGGGAAUAUUGCACAAUGGGCGCAAGCCUGAUGCAGCGACGCCGCGUGGGGGAUGACGGCCUUCGGGUUGUAAACUCCUUUCGUCAGGGACGAAGCGAAAGUGACGGUACCUGGAUAAGAAGCACCGGCUAACUACGUG
rnacentral:rRNA from 1 species